rnacentral:rRNA from 1 species
CGUAGGGUGCAAGCGUUAAUCGGAAUUACUGGGCGUAAAGCGUGCGCAGGCGGUUUUGUAAGUUUGUCGUGAAAGCCCCGGGCUCAACCUGGGAAUUGCGACGAAGACUGCAAGGCUUGAAUCUGGCAGAGGGGGGUAGAAUUCCACGUGUAGCAGUGAAAUGCGUAGAGAUGUGGAGGAACACCGAUGGCGAAGGCAGCCCCCUGGGUCAAGAUUGACGCUCAUGCACGAAAGCGUGGGGAGCAAACAGGAUUAGAUACCCUGGUAGUCCACGCCCUAAACGAUGUCUACUAGUUGUCGGGUUUUAAUUAACUUGGUAACGCAGCUAACGCGUGAAGUAGACCGCCUGGGGAGUACGGUCGCAAGAUUA